GAUGAACGCUGGCGGCGUGCCUAAUACAUGCAAGUCGAGCGAACAGACGAGGAGCUUGCUCCUCUGACGUUAGCGGCGGACGGGUGAGUAACACGUGGAUAACCUACCUAUAAGACUGGGAUAACUUCGGGAAACCGGAGCUAAUACCGGAUAAUAUAUUGAACCGCAUGGUUCAAUAGUGAAUGACGGUUUUGCUGUCACUUAUAGAUGGAUCCGCGCCGCAUUAGCUAGUUGGUAAGGUAACGGCUUACCAAGGCAACGAUGCGUAGCCGACCUGAGAGGGUGAUCGGCCACACUGGAACUGAGACACGGUCCAGACUCCUACGGGAGGCAGCAGUAGGGAAUCUUCCGCAUUGGGCGAAAGCCUGACGGAGCAACGCCGCGUGAGUGAUGAAGGUCUUCGGAUCGUAAAACUCUGUUAUUAGGGAAGAACAAAUGUGGAAGUAACUAUGCACGUCUUGACGGUACCUAAUCAGAAAGCCACGGCUAACUACGUG
rnacentral:rRNA from 1 species